UACCCAAUCCUAAUACAGGGAGGUAGUGACAAGAAAUAACAAUACAGGACUUUUUGGUUUUGUAAUUGGAAUGAGUUAAGUAUAAACCCCUUUACAAGUAUCAAUUGGAGGGCAAGUCUGGUGCCAGCAGCCGCGGUAAUUCCAGCUCCAAUAGCGUAUAUUAAAGUUGUUGCAGUUAAAAAGCUCGUAGUUGGAUUUCUGUUAAUAAUUUAUAUAAAAUAUUUUGAUGAAUAUUUAUAUAAUAUUAACAUAAUUCA
rnacentral:rRNA from 1 species